ACACGUGGACAACCUACCCUUUGGACGGGGAUAAACCCGGGAAACUGGGUAUAAUACCCGAUAGAUCUCAUUGGCUGGAAUGCCUUGAGCUCGAAAGCUCCGGCGCCAAAGGAUGGGUCUGCGGCCUAUCAGGUAGUAGUGGGUGUAGUGUACCUACUAGCCUACGACGGGUACGGGUUGUGAGAGCAAGAGCCCGGAGAUGGAUUCUGAGACACGAAUCCAGGCCCUACGGGGUGCAGCAGGCGCGAAAACUUUACAAUGCUGGCAACAGCGAUAAGGGAACCUCGAGUGCCAGGUUACAAAUCUGGCUGUCGUUGUGUCUAAAAAACACGAUAUAGCAAGGGCCGGGCAAGACCGGUGCCAGCCGCCGCGGUAACACCGGCGGCUCGAGUGGUAACCGUUAUUAUUGGGUCUAAAGGGUCUGUAGCCGGCCGGAUAAGUCUCUUGGGAAAUCCGGCAGCUUAACUGUCGGGCUUUCAGGAGAUACUGUUCGGCUCGAGGCCGGGAGAGGUGAGAGGUACUUCAGGGGUAGGGGUGAAAUCUUGUAAUCCUUGAAGGACCACCAGUGGCGAAGGCGUCUCACCAGAACGGACCUGACGGCAAGGGACGAAAGCUAGGGGCACGAACCGGAUUAGAUACCCGGGUAGUCCUAGCCGUAAACGAUACUCGCUAGGUGUCGGCCACGGUGCGACCGUGGUCGGUGCCGUAGGGAAGCCGUGAAGCGAGCCACCUGGGAAGUACGGCCGCAAGGCUGAAACUUAAAGGAAUUGGC
rnacentral:rRNA from 1 species